UGGGGGAUAUUGCACAAUGGGGGAAACCCUGAUGCAGCGACGCCGCGUGGAGGAAGAAGGUUUUCGGAUUGUAAACUCCUGUCGUUAGGGACGAUAAUGACGGUACCUAACAAGAAAGCACCGGCUAACUACGUGCCAGCAGCCGCGGUAAAACGUAGGGUGCAAGCGUUGUCCGGAAUUACUGGGUGUAAAGGGAGCGCAGGCGGACCGGCAAGUUGGAAGUGAAAACCAUGGGCUCAACCCAUGAAUUGCUUUCAAAACUGCUGGCCUUGAGUAGUGCAGAGGUAGGCGGAAUUCCCGGUGUAGCGGUGGAAUGCGUAGAUAUCGGGAGGAACACCAGUGGCGAAGGCGGCCUACUGGGCACCAACUGACGCUGAGGCUCGAAAGUAUGGGUAGCAAAC
rnacentral:rRNA from 1 species